rnacentral:rRNA from 1 species
UACGGGGGGAGCAAGCGUUGUUCGGAUUUACUGGGCGUAAAGGGCGCGUAGGCGGCGCAACAAGUCACUUGUGAAAUCUCCGGGCUUAACCCGGAGCGGUCAAGUGAUACUGUCGUGCUAGAGUGCGGAAGGGGCAACUGGAAUUCUCGGUGUAGCGGUGAAAUGCGUAGAUAUCGAGAGGAACACCUGCGGCGAAGGCGGGUUGCUGGGCCGACACUGACGCUGAUGCGCGAAAGCCAGGGGAGCGAACGGG